rnacentral:lncRNA from 1 species
GAAUCAAGGCAUCUUGAAUCAACAUUCAACAUCCCUCUGUCUAUCCUUCUGUUUCACAAGCGUGUACGUACACACACAAAAAUCAAGAUGGAGGGAUCUAAACGUAUGUUUUCAACUGUCUUCAUCCUCGUCCUGCUCCUUGUGGCUAUUGGUAUCUCUCUCUUUCCUCAUUUUAAUUUUAAUUUUAUAUUUGAUUAGUGGUAUAUUUCUUUCCAAUGCUAGAAGAUGUUUCAAGUUUGAAUCCACCUUCUCUCGUUAAUUUUUAUCGAUGAAUGUUUGGCAGGGACGGGUCCAAUGGUUGCUGAGGGCAAGGUCGCAACAAAGGAGAGUCAAGGACUUGUGAGUCUCUGAGCACGAAAUUCAAGGGAUUUUGCUUACGAUCAAGCAGCUGUGCAGAUGCUUGCCAAAAAGAGGGCUUCAUGGGAGGCAAAUGUCCUGGCUUCAGGCUGAGAUGUACAUGCACUAAGAAAUGUUAGUGAUAUAACACACUAACUUAUUUUGGUGCAUGGGAUUGAGAAGAUUGAAAAUUUAUUGCCCUUUUUUUGUUUUGUUUAAAAGAAUAAAUGACUAAC